rnacentral:snRNA from 1 species
ACGUGAGGGCAAUCUGACUGUGACAUCUGUCACCCUAUUGAUAGCUUGGGUUGAUUCUGUAGAUCUGGCUGGCAGGCGAGCGUCUCCUUCUUCCCUUACCACUCAAUGUGCGUCUCUCCCAAAAGCUCCUGAAAGAGGAGGAUCUUCCCCCCUUGAGGAGACCAUACCUUAGUCAAGUGUAUAGAGUAGCUGCAGUCCUCUGCUAAAACUUACCAACAUGGGAAACGGACUUGGCCCAGUGGUUAGGGCGUCCGUCUAC